UGGGGGGGGGGAGGCUACACAUGCAAGUCGAGCGGUAACAGGAAGAAGCUUGCUUCUUUGCUGACGAGCGGCGGACGGGUGAGUAAUACUUGGGAACUUGCCUUUAGGAGGGGGAUAACCGCUGGAAACGGUGGCUAAUACCGCAUAAUGUCUACGGACCAAAGCAGGGGCUCUUCGGACCUUGCACCUAAAGAUAGGCCCAAGCGAGAUUAGCUAGUUGGUGGGGUAAAGGCCCACCAAGGCGACGAUCUCUAGCUGUUCUGAGAGGAUGAUCAGCCACACUGGGACUGAGACACGGCCCAGACUCCUACGGGAGGCAGCAGUGGGGAAUAUUGCACAAUGGGGGAAACCCUGAUGCAGCCAUGCCGCGUGUGUGAAGAAGGCCUUCGGGUUGUAAAGCACUUUCAGUGGUGAGGAAGGCCGUAAGAUUAAUACUCUUGCGGAUUGACGUUAACCACAGAAGAAGCACCGGCUAACUCCGUGCCAGCAGCCGCGGUAAU
rnacentral:rRNA from 1 species